rnacentral:lncRNA from 1 species
GCCAAAUGACCAAACCCCAUUAGGCACCACCGCACUAACCACAUCACCAGCCGGAAGCCACCUUUUUCCUCGCCUCUACCGCCCUUUUCCUCACCUAACUAGCCUCUAUCUCAGAGUCUUCGUUCUUCUCGCCUCUGCCGCCCUUCUUCUCGCCUCUGCCGCCCUUUUCCUCGUCUCCAUCUCCUUCCUUGCCUUCGUUUUUCUCGGUGAUCCUAGUGCCUCCGCCUACGA